rnacentral:rRNA from 1 species
UGGGGAAUAUUGGACAAUGGGCGAAAGCCUGAUCCAGCAAUGCCGCGUGGGUGAAGAAGGUCUUCGGAUCGUAAAGCCCUUUCGACGGGGACGAUGAUGACGGUACCCGUAGAAGAAGCGCCGGCUAACUUCGUGCCAGCAGCCGCGGUAAUACGAAGGGGGCUAGCGAUGCUCGGAAUUACUGGGCGUAAAGGGCGCGUAGGCGGCGGCCCAAGUCAGGCGUGAAAUUCCUGGGCUCAACCUGGGGACUGCGCUUGAUACUGGGUUGCUUGAGGAUGGAAGAGGCUCGUGGAAUUCCCAGUGUAGAGGUGAAAUUCGUAGGUAUUGGGAAGAACACCGGUGGCGAAGGCGGCGAGCUGGUCCAUUACUGAAGCUAAGGCGCGACAGCGUGGGGAGCAAACAGG